rnacentral:lncRNA from 1 species
UGAGUUUCAAAUUGUAUUUGGAUUACACGCGAGGGGUUCGAUGUUUUGGUGAUGACAUUGAACUUCGUUUUUUUUAAAUUGUAAUUUGUGAGUUUAUGUGUGUUUUGUCACGAAAUUGCAAAAGGGGGAGAUUGUUAGGUCCUAUGUGUUGGCAAGUUUCGUGGGUCGAGUCGGAGUCUUGAAGAAGUCGGAAGCGGAGUAUUGAAGAUCAAAGAAUUCAAGACUUCAAAGAAUCGGAAAGGACGCAAAACACGCAAAACAUGAAUCACGAUGCGUAGGUAAGCUUUAAAUCUUGUUUAUGGUGAUUCAUACUUNCACCCAUCCUAGGACUACUCCCGUCCUAGCAUGCUUAACUCUCUUAACCUCUUCGGCCUUGCCACCAACCAAAAUGCUUAAGCCGGGUUAAGAGUUUAGCCCUAUUAUAUCUUAUAUAUAGGACUAUCUGGGGUCUCACAAUCUCCCCUCCUUUAAGCCCUGACGUCUUCGUCAGGCUCAGACUCACAAAUACCAGGCGAUGUGAGACUCAUCUCGCUAGCCUGUUAUCCAGACCCUAGCUUAGCCGAGACUCAUCUCACACUUCCGGCUGGUAAUUGGCUCUGAUACCAACUAUGACGCCCCGACUUCCCAGGGGGUCACCCAUCCUAGGACUACUCCCGUCCUAGCACGCUUAACUCUCUUAACCUCUUGGGUCUAGCCACCACCCAAAAUGCUUAAGCCGGGUUAAGAGUUUAGCCCUAUUAUAUCUUAUAUAUAGGACUGCCUAUUAUAUCUUAUAUAUAGGACUAUCUGGGGCCUCACAAUACCUCUAGGGUACUAGGAGGCUAGAGGACACUUUCGUUGGAGCAAACGAAGGGUUUCGUUUACCGUUGGUGGGUUUGACUUCAUGAAAAUGGGACAAAAUGGCCCCUAUGCUUUCUAAACUCUUCGUAAUGUUAGGUCCUAUGUGUUGGCAAGUUUCGUGGGUCGAGUCGGAGUCUUGAAGAAGUUCGGAGCGGAAUAUUGAAGAUCGAAGAAUCCAAGACUUCGAAGAAUCGGAAAGGAUGCAAAACACGUAAAACAUGAAUCACGAUGCGUAGGUAAGCUUUAAAUCUUGUUUAUGGUGAUUCAUACUUAAUUAUAGAUUUUAGAAUCAUGUUUUCAAGUUGUAAUUGAUUAGAAAGUUUCUAAGAGUUUAUAAAAUCCAAAACAAUGCAUUUUCAGCGAAAAUUGCAUUGCUGUACCGGUACA